UGUCUGCUUUUUGUGAGGAGGAACACAGUGUGCUGUUUCCCCUGCCACAGCCACUGAGCCCUCACCAGCAGUCAUUGAACUCCUUAGCCUGUGAGCCUGCCAAGAUCCAGCAGUUAUCCCAGGACUAAACCAGAGGCUUAGCAGUGUGGGAGCAAGAAGAAUCCGGGUACCAUGUGAAAGCAGCGCCUUAAUGCAGCAAAAACCCUCAGGAGCUCCUCAGGAUUUGGUGGUGUGGAGUGCAGUGGCCAAGGGAAUGAGUUGGAACAGGCAGAAGUUACCCACAUUCUCCUCCACCAUGUGUGACCUUGGUCCUUCAGGGGCAAGCCAGCAUGAGGGAUGAAUGAAUACACAUGAGGGAGCAAAGACAAGGCAGGGGAUCAAGCCAGAAGGAUUUGCUGAGAUUGGGAAGGUGAUGAGAGAAACAAUACAACCAGAACCCCGUCUCCACAAUCUGAUGGAAAGAAAUCGUACAUCAUGGAUAAACUCAUUUUUCUGCUGAUGAUGGAUGAAGGGGAGGACAUACAACUGUAGGACAAGUACAGAGGGCUGAAGGACAAUUAUGUCAACAAGGAAGCAAUGCAGAAACAGAAACCUGAGUCAAUAUUCAGACCCUUUAAUUAUGCAGCU